UGAGGAUGUGCCAGAUGUGCAGACUAUCCUUGAGGAGGCCACUGGCAAUUGGCAGUUGAUUCCGAUUAGGUUCAGCCCCCUGUACUGUGGGCCUGUUGUGAUCAGGAACAAUGCCGGUCCGGUGGUUAAAGCUUGGAGAACUUUCCAGUUCAUCAGCCCCAUCAUCAC